rnacentral:tRNA from 1 species
GGCGCUAUAGUGUAGUGGUUAUCACUUGGGAUUCUGAUAAACCAAUCGGUUGUAAGUCCGUGUUCCCAAAACCCAGGUUCGAGCCCUGGUAGCGCCU